rnacentral:rRNA from 1 species
UACGGGGGGAGCAAGCGUUGUUCGGAUUUACUGGGCGUAAAGGGCGCGUAGGCGGCCUCCGCAAGUCGACUGUGAAAUCUCCGGGCUUAACCCGGAAAGGUCAGCCGAUACUGCGGGGCUAGAGUGCGGAAGGGGCAACUGGAAUUCUUGGUGUAGCGGUGAAAUGCGUAGAUAUCAAGAGGAACACCUGCGGCGAAGGCGGGUUGCUGGGCCGACACUGACGCUGAAGCGCGAAAGCUAGGGAGCGAACGGG